rnacentral:rRNA from 1 species
UACGUAGGGGGCAAGCGUUGUCCGGAAUCAUUGGGCGUAAAGAACGUGUAGGCGGCCAGAAAAGUCCGCUGUGAAAACUCGAGGCUCAACUUCGAGCUGUCGGUGGAAACUUUCUGGCUAGAGUCCGGAAGAGGAGAAUGGAAUUCCUGGUGUAGCGGUGAAAUGCGCAGAUAUCAGGAAGAACACCCGUGGCGAAGGCGGUUCUCUGGGACGGUACUGACGCUGAGACGCGAAAGCGUGGGGAGCGAACAGG